GACGAAGGAUGCAAGCGUUAUCCGGAUUCAUUGGGUUUAAAGGGAGCGUAGGUGGCCUUAUAAGCCAGUGGUGAAAUCUCGCAGCUUAACUGCGAAAUUGCCAUUGAUACUGUAGGGCUUGAGUAUAGUUGCCGUUGGCGGAAUAUGACAUGUAGUGGUGAAAUACAUAGAGAUGUCAUAGAACACCGAUUGCGAAGGCAGCUGACAAAACUGUAACUGACGCUGAGGCACGAAAGUGUGGGGAUCAAACAGG
rnacentral:rRNA from 1 species